rnacentral:rRNA from 1 species
AUUGAACGCUGGCGGCAUGCCUUACACAUGCAAGUCGAACGGUAACAGGUUAAGCUGACGAGUGGCGAACGGGUGAGUAAUGUAACGGAACGUGCCCAGUCGUGGGGGAUAACUGCUCGAAAGAGCAGCUAAUACCGCAUACGACCUGAGGGUGAAAGCGGGGGAUCGCAAGACCUCGCGCGAUUGGAGCGGCCGAUAUCAGAUUAGGUAGCUGGUGGGGUAAAGGCCUACCAAGCCUACGAUCUGUAGCUGGUCUGAGAGGACGACCAGCCACACUGGGACUGAGACACGGCCCAGACUCCUACGGGGGGCAGCAGUGGGGAAUUUUGGACAAUGGACGCAAGUCUGAUCCAGCCAUGCCGCGUGCGGGAAGAAGGCCUUCGGGUUGUAAACCGCUUUUGUCAGGGAAGAAAAGGGUGUUUCUAAUAAGGAUGCCUCAUGACGGUACCUGAAGAAUAAGCACCGGCUAACUACGUGCCAGCAGCCGCAGUAAAAC